CUCUGACACCUGUCAUGUCUCCUGUACACGGUUCAUUCAAGGCAGCCAUCCUCAGCUGGAAGUACAUGUGGUCAGUCAUGUUAUGGGGUUGGCUGCCCUAUCGGUGUGACCUCAAUUUCCUGUGUCCAACAAUAAGCUUAUGUUAUGCAAGCAAACAGCGGUAACCCAAAUCACCAUACAGCAGAUCUCAUUGGACAUGUGACUUCUCUUCUGUGAGGCUGCCUACUCAAAAUAUGAUGUAUUCUCAGAGAUGGUUCCAGCAGACAAUAUUAAAACUGUAAUCCACUUUAAAUAAGCAUAUGCCUGGAUGUACUAGAAUGUAUACCAUUACUGUGAGAAAUAACUGAGGAUUGUUGGUACUGGUAAGGUUUGAACCAAUCACUGUAGCACAGAGCUAAGUUCUCUAACUGUAACCUCCUCAUUAUAUACUCAUUUACCUUCUUUAUUGCCAGUAUGUGGAAACACAGUGCCAUCUCUGGAGCAAAACAAGCAAUACUCCUCCUCAUGAAUAGCAAUGGAAAAUGUAUACUCCAUAAUGCAGUGAGCAUAAUUCCCAGUGACACUCUUUGUAGUUUAUUAAGAUUACUUGUGGCCUGUGUAUAAAAUUAUAUUAACGGUUUAUAAUUAAUUCUAUUUAUGACUGUAAGUAAACUGUACUUUAUUAUGACUCACUGUGGCUGAAAACCAGAAGUGACCAAGGACAUUUAGUAAGACUCCAAUACCAACUUUUAAAUAAAUAUGUCCUACAGUAUUGGCACUUAUACCACGUCACAGACACUAAGACAGGCACCUGUACCAGAUCACAGACAUUAAGCUCAACAGAUCUUUUCCUGUAAAGAAUACCUAAUAAUGUGAAUAAUGUAUUUUUUAUUGCUAGUGGGGUGGGACUAAGUCCCUUGUACUGUGGCCACUUCUGGCCUAUUGUACCAGCC